rnacentral:rRNA from 1 species
GUGAAUCCCUUGGCUCAACCAAGGAAGGGCAUUUGAAACUGUCUGGCUUGAGUACGGGAGGGGGAAGUGGAAUUCCCGGUGUAGAGGUGAAAUUCGUAGAUAUCGGGAGGAACACCGGUGGCGAAGGCGGCUUCCUGGACCGAUACUGACGCUGAGACGCGAAAGCGUGGGGAGCAAACAGGAUUAGAUACCCUGGUAGUCCACGCCCUAAACGUUGGGCACUAGGUGUUGUGGGUAUUGACCCCUGCAGUGCCAAGGGCGAAUUCCACAGUGGAUA